CUACAGAGCAGGUGACUUGGCCAGAUCCAGCCACUAGGGGCACUGUCGCGCUCAAUUGGGCGAUAGCAAUUGUGAGGGAGAGAAUUAGAGACUGACGAGGGUGAGACGUGUGUAUGCCAGCUAGCAGGAUAGCAUUGCAUUGUGGCUAGCCAACAUGUCCGCUGUGUGGAAAUACUUUACACUGGAAACACCGCAGAGCAAGACAGCAAAAUGCAAUGUUUGCAAAGCCUUAAUUCAGAGACGCAGAAGCGCCCUCGCUUCGUACAACACUACGAACACAAUCAAACAUUUCAAAAAAGCACCACACGAAAGAGCACGAGGAUUUUUUAGGCGAGCUGUCAGGAAUCACUUUUGGAGUCAUUCCAAAACCAAGAACCACACUGGAUUAAAGCGCCAUAAAGGGAUUGACUGUCUCCUUCAUCAUUUUUAUCUAAGUCUUGGGGGAACUGUAGGUCCGUUCUAGCAGAUGCACACUUCGCGAUUACGAAUCAAAGAAGCCAGUCUACUAUCUUUGAGCCUCCGCCACAUAUGGCCCUUCGAGCCGGAUAAGGUAAUUACGAAGUGAAAAUGGCUCAGGUUCCCCCAAGUGAAGAUGUACGUCCACGCCGGCGAACGUGCUAACCAAGAUGGAUGGAUGAUUAUGAAUGGUACACCAUCCCACAGGCUAUGAGCUACCCACCAUGCACCUCCACUGCGUUAGAGGAGACUGACUGGAGCAGAAGUAGAGAGGGAAAUGCCGAGAUGAUACCGAGAUGGAGAAUAGAAGGUUGCAGCUGAUGGUGAUGGAUAUGAGACGGCAGAUGGACAGGAGUGGUGCAGCACCUCCCAGUUCACAGCCUGCACGGCUGUACCAUCCACAAGAGAGUCACUCCCCUGCCAGACGAGAGGGCACCAGGUCCCCACCAUCACAACGGCCCAUGCUGCAUUCACCACCUGAAACACGUCAUCCACAGUUAGGAGACCAGCACCACCGCCUCCAACAAGGGAGCUGCACCGUCCGCCCGCAGUACCGGACAGAAAUAUAGCCGACAGUGAUUGGACGCUGCCUCCCCCACCAGUAGCCUUCUCCGAUGAAGAUUAUGAGCCACCAAGAGACCAGCCUGCACCCUUAGGGCAACCUGCUGAUGUUGUGGAGAACCUUAGAGAACGUCUGCAGCAG
rnacentral:lncRNA from 15 species